CCACCAGAGCAAGUGCCAGAGUUUCAGUCAGAAGGUCGUCCGCAAGGUUGAAGUGAGGUUCAGUCCGCCAUCGAGAAUGCCUGUGGUGUGGAGCCGUCAUCGCCAGCUGAAGCUGAAGAUUAGAUGGUUUUAGUUUGUUUUCUUUUUCUGCUGUAUUUCGAUAGAUAAUUGUUUUUAUUUGUUUUUAAAUCGUGGAACUGUGUAUUGACUUGUCAUAGUAUGUAUUCGGGCUGAUUCCUGGACUGAGA
rnacentral:lncRNA from 1 species